ensembl:lncRNA
AUGCGCAAAUAUGGUAACGAAGGUACAUAUAAUAGCGAUAGUAAUAGCUAUAUUGGUAAUGAUACCAGUGAAUACAGUGACCCAAGCAAAUGUAGUGAUAAUAAAAGCAGAUACAGUGAUAAUAAAAGCAGAUAUAGUGAUAAUAGAAGUAAUAUGAAUGUUAGAAAAAGUAAGCUACUUGAGAAUGAAAAUACCUAUAAACUUAAUACAAGUACAGAAAACUUUAAAAGAUUAGGAAAUUCGCACAUAAAGAAAGGUAGUCACCACAUGUCGAUAAAUAAGUACGACCAUAAUAUAACUGAUGCGCGGUAUCAAACGUUUAAAAAUGAAAAAUAUAAUAAUUAUACCAAUAUGGACAUAAAUGGUAUCAAUAUUAACAUAAACGAUACCAAAAAUGACACAAACGAUACCAAACAUGAUAGGAAGGAUACAAAAAAUGACAGAAAAGAUACAAAAAAUGANNNNNNNNNNAGAAAAGAUACAAAAAAUGACAGAAAAGAUACAAAAAAUGACACAAACGAUAUCAAAAAUGACAGAAAAAAUACAAAAAAUGACAUAAAUGGUGUUAUUGCUAACAUAAACGGUGUAAAUACUAACAUAAAUAACAUUAAAGACAAUGUCAAUACUAACAUAAAUAGCAUUAAAAACAAUGACAAUAAUAAUAAUGAUUUAUAUUCAAUAAGUCUACUUAAAGUUAAAAAUGAUGAAAACGAGUUAUUGAAAGCUAAUAAAAUCGAAAAAAAAAAUAAAAAAAAAAAUAAUUAUAAAUUAGAUUAUGAUACUAUGUUAGAGAAAAAUAAUUACCUUGACAAUACACUUGACAUUCACUCUAAAUGUCACUCCAAAAACCACUCCAACAGCCAUAUUAAAAGUUCUCGAUAUAACCACCACAAUAGUCACCGCACUAGUCACCAUAAUAGUCAUCGCACUAGCCACCGCAAUAUUCAUAUGAAUAAUCACUUUAACAGUCAUCUAAAUAAUAAUGAAUCAUCAGGUUAUGAUAUGGGUAAUAUUACAACAAAAGAUAAUGGUAAUUUAGAAAUGGAUUUAACAGAAAAGAAAAGGAAAAAAAGCAUGUAUAUAUCAGAAUACAAAAAAAAAAAAAAUACAUUACAAAAUGUUUUAUAUGUGUUUAAAAGAGAUAAAAAACAUCAUUGGAAAAAAAAACUAAAAGAAUAUUUAAUUAAAUUUUAUACUAUUAAAAAUGAAAUCCCUAAAAAAUCAACAGGAGUAUGUUUUGUAUCCUUUAUAGAUACGAAAUCUGUGCAUGAUUGUAUUCACAACAUUCCUUAUACAGAAAGAAAUAACUGGUUAAUAUAUAAAGCACCACCAAACUAUGAUAUAAUUUGGAAGAAUUUAAAAAAUCAUAGUUAUAAAGUUUGUGGUCGAUUCAUUAUAUUUAAUGCUAUGUUAUUGUUAGCAAACACAAUUAUUAUUUUUUCAGUCACUUAUAUUGAUAACAUAAUAAAAAUCAAAAUCAAACAAUAUGAAAGUGUAAAAAAUUUUAUUGGAGUUAUCAUCUUACAAUUAGCAAUUUGGUGUUCAUCAUUUAUUGUUAUCAUUAUCAACAGUAUUGUACAACCUGCUCUAAUUACUGGCGUUUCAAUGGCUAUAGGAUUUUUAAGGAAGUCUAGUGAGCACACUUACGUGUUACAAGGAAAUUUUAUUUUUUUACUUUAUAAUACUAUUAUUAUUCCGUUAUUUUCGCUUUCACCCUUGAGCUCUUUAAUUAAGAUCAUUUAUUCAAAAGAAGCGCAUCCAUGGACUACCAACUUAGGGUCUGAACUAUUUAAUUCGAGUUGUUUGUUUGCUUUGAGAUAUUUACUGCAUUGUUGUUUUUUGACAUGCGCAAAUCAGUUAUUGCAAAUACCUCAGUUUUCAAUUCGAUCAAUUCUUAAAACAUUAACAAAAAAAGAAAUAAGUCCAUGGAGUUUUGAUUUUGGAUAUUGGUACGGAUUUAACACGACAAUGUUGGCUUUGAUAUUGACAUUUAGCGUUGCUGUUCCAUUAAUAUUACCUCUUGGGUCGUUGUAUUUUUUUUUACGGUACUAUAUUGACAAAUACAAUCUUAUUUAUGAAGUAUGUAAAACCAACUUAGAUAGUCAUGGAGCUAUCGUAAAGACGGCUAUAAAGUUUAUGUUAUUUUCUGUAGCAUUCUUUCAAAUUGUAAUGUUCAUCUUUUUCUCUCAAGCAAACGAUAGUUUCAUUUUAGUUGGAAAAAAUAUUUUGUUUUUAUCCUCUUCUAUCACAACUCUGUUACUUUUGUGUAGAUCCACUGAGUGGGUUAGUACGAAUCAUAUAAAAAAGAAAAAAGGGAAGAGGACAUUUUGUUAUUUAUGUGAGAAGAAUGUUUAUGUAAGUAAUUUAAAAGAUUUGAACAAAUUGAAAUAUGCUUAUGCUAAUCCGUAUGAAAAAAAAUGGUAAAGGGUGUUGUGUAUUUGUUUAUGUAUGCGUGUAUAUAUAUACAUAUAUAUAUAUAUUUUGUUUGUAUUUGUUCAAAAUUACAACUUUGUACAUGUGUGAGCGCAUUGUUAUUUAUUUAUCUAUUUAUUCAUUUAUUUACUUAUUUCUAUAUGUAGUAUAAUUUUGCUUUUGUAAAUAUUAACUUGUGUUAUAAGAUUUGGGAAUUAAUAUUUGCAUAUUAUGAUAUUGACACUAAGAAAUAUAUGUUUUUGUGUAUAUGUAUAUAUGUAUGUACGUAUGUAUGUAUGUAUGUAUAUAUGUGUGUGUUACUAUUUCUAUUUAUUAAAUGAAAUUAAAUUUUGUACUCAUAAAAAAAUAAUAUAUUUUUAAUUUUUUUUAAAAAAAUUUUGAUAAAAAUAUAUUUUCCUCUUUUUUUUUUUUUUAUUUUUUUUUAUGUAUGAUUUUAUUUUUUUUUAAUUAAGUAUAACUGUUGUUUUUUUUCAGCAUAUUCCACAUAAAGUAUGUAUUUAUGCAUGUAUGUAUGUAUGUACAUGUAUAUAUAUAUAUAUAUAUAUGUACUUUUCCGUUUUACUCAAUCAUUUAUAUAUACACAAUUAUGCAUUAUAUAUAUAUGUGUGUAUACAUUUAAAAUGUUUUUUUAAGUAUUCAAUAAAAAGUAAAUCCAAUAUAAAUAAGUAUUUAAA